UUCUCCUACGGGGGGCAGCAGUGAGGAAUAUUGGUCAAUGGGAGAGAUCCUGAACCAGCCAAGCCGCGUGAGGGAUGAAGGUACAGAGUAUCGUAAACCUCUUUUGUCAGGGAACAAAGGCGGGGACGUGUCCCCGGAUGAGUGUACCUGAAGAAAAAGCAUCGGCUAACUCCGUGCCAGCAGCCGCGGUAAUACGGAGGAUGCGCGCGUUAUCCGGAUUUAUUGGGUUUAAAGGGUGCGCAGGCGGUCUGUUAAGUCAGCGGUCAAAGUCCGGGGCUCAACCCCGGCCCGCCGUUGAAACUGGG
rnacentral:rRNA from 1 species